UACGAACGCCGGCGGCGCGCCUAACACAUGCAAGUCGAACGGCACCCACCUCCGGGUGGAAGCGAGUGGCGAACGGCUGAGUAACACGUGGAGAACCUGCCCCCUCCCCCGGGAUAGCCGCCCGAAAGGACGGGUAAUACCGGAUACCCCGGGGCGCCGCAUGGCGCCCCGGCUAAAGCCCCGACGGGAGGGGAUGGCUCCGCGGCCCAUCAGGUAGACGGCGGGGUGACGGCCCACCGUGCCGACAACGGGUAGCCGGGUUGAGAGACCGACCGGCCAGAUUGGGACUGAGACACGGCCCAG
rnacentral:rRNA from 1 species